GAUGAACGCUGGCGGCGUGCUUAACACAUGCAAGUCGAACGAUGAACCGGGUGCUUGCACUCGGGGAUUAGUGGCGAACGGGUGAGUAACACGUGAGCAACCUGCCCCUGACUCUGGGAUAAGCGCUGGAAACGGCGUCUAAUACUGGAUAUGUCCCGUCACCGCAUGGUGUGCGGGUGGAAAGAUUUUUCGGUUGGGGAUGGGCUCGCGGCCUAUCAGCUUGUUGGUGAGGUAAUGGCUGACCAAGGCGUCGACGGGUAGCCGGCCUGAGAGGGUGACCGGCCACACUGGGACUGAGACACGGCCCAGACUCCUACGGGAGGCAGCAGUGGGGAAUAUUGCACAAUGGGCGGAAGCCUGAUGCAGCAAAGCCGCGUGAGGGAUGACGGCCUUCGGGUUGUAAACCUCUUAUAGCAGGGAAGAAGCGAGAGUGACGGUACCUGCAGAAAAAGCACCGGCUAACUACGUGCCAGCCGCCGCCGUAA
rnacentral:rRNA from 1 species